CCCAGAAAACCUGUGACUGUUGAAGAAAAUUCAUCUGUGAAUUUUUAUAUUCAAGGAGUCAGUAUUUAUAUUCAUCUUUUAAACUGGGAAGAUUUAUAUUUUACUUUAAAACUUCUUGAUAAUAAUUUACAAUGAAUGGACACAGUGAUGAAGAAAGUGUUAGAAACAGUAGUGGAGAAUCAACCAGUCGGAUGAUGAUUCUGGGUCAGCUUCAGGCUCUGGAUCUGGUUCGAGUUCUGGAAGCAGUAGUGAUGGAAGCAGUAGCCAGUCAGGUAGCAGUGACUCUGACUCCGGAUCUGAAUCAGGCAGUCAGUCAGAGUCUGAGUCAGACACUUCCCGAGAAAACAAAGUUCAAGCAAAACCACCGAAAGUUGAUGGAGCUGAUUUUGGAAAUCUAGUCCUAGUAUUCUGGCCGUUCAGAGAUCUGCAAUCCUCAAGAAGCAGCAACAGCAGCAGCAGCAACAACAACAUCAAGCCUCAUCUAAUAGCGGAUCAGAAGAGAUUCCUCUAGCAGUGAAGAUUCCGAUGACUCAUCAAGUGAGGUCAAAAGGAAAAAGCAUAAAGUGAAGAUUGGCAAAUGUCUGGGUCAGGAUCUCCAUCUCAGUCUGGUUCAGAUUCAGAAUCUGAAGAAGAGAGAGAGAAAAGCAGUUGUGAUGAAACAGAAUCUGAUUAUGAGCCAAAAAACAAAGUCAAAAGCAGAAAACCUCAAAAUAGGUAUGGUCUCAGUUUGGUGCUGAAAAUUGAUUGUG
rnacentral:lncRNA from 1 species